UUUGAUCUUUCAGCGAUGAAGCGUCGAACGGCCUGCUUUAUUGGCCAGGACGCUGCUGAGUCCUGGCUCGAUAACAAGCGAAUCGCACGGGUGUCGCGGGUGUCGACGAUGCACGAUGAAACGCAACGACCAGUGACGAGCUACCGUAUCGUUCUGGAGUCGCUAAAAGCCUCGUGGCUUACGGCAAGUGUACAUUUAUCCCUGCGAAGCAGUUCGAACGCGACCACGAGGAGGUCAUCCGUAGCGAGAGGUGGGGAUCCAUGCACACCUCGGUGUCGUCGUCGCUUCGACAAUGUCCCGCCGCGUGGGAGGACGUUAGAGGAAGGGAAAACGCCGGAAAAUGAGCCAGCCUCAUCGAUGCCACUUCCUGCUUCGCCCCGGCCGGUCGACCGUCCUGAGAAUUCAAGCGCCAUUGUGUCACCGUCCCAUCGGUCUUUAAUUCAAAUCGUGAUUCAUAAUUUUGCAAGUUUUAAUGACGUGGGAAGCGAACGGGGCGAAAAUUGCGCCGCUACGCCGGUGGUCAUUGUUCGGGUGAAGCUUUCGACGACGUUCAUCGCGAUCUUCCGCUAUCAGCGAACAGCCGUGGGAAAUAGUCCGGCGCGAAAUCACCGAUCAAUAUUCACCGCGAAGACUCGUCCAAGGUGAUCUCCGCGACGUGAAGAAGUCAUUUCCAUCGAUCGCGGAACACGUCCGCUCGUGAUGCAUAACGACAGUGACUAAACGCGACUCAUUCAUCGGCAUGAAAAUUAUAAACAACCGCGCCCUGCCGGCGGGGAUAGAUCCCACGAUGAUCUGGAACGCGUGUAAGUACCACGUAACUGCGGCGUCUACGACGGUUCACGAGGCCUUGAGUUAUUACGGAGAACCUCUGCCCAGGUGCAUGCGUUUUCCGCAGAUUCUGGAUUUUUAAGGAAUAUCGAUUUUUAUUUCGAUUUGGAAAUAACUGGGAGAAUUUAUAGUUAAAACUAUGUAAGAGAAAAGUAAGUACCAAAAAACGUCUAUUUGAAACCGACAAAUCCGAAGGAACAAUUACGUUACAAGACGGC